GACAGAGGGUGCAAACGUUGUUCGGAAUUACUGGGCGUAAAGCGCGUGUAGGCUGCUUCGCAAGUCGGAUGUGAAAGCCCUGGGCUCAACCCAGGAAGUGCAUUCGAAACUGCAGAGCUGGAGUCCUGGAGAGGAAGGCGGAAUUCUCGGUGUAGCGGUGAAAUGCUUAGAUAUCGUCAAGAACACCUAUAGCGAAGGCAGCUUACUAGGCUGUAACUGACGCUGAGGCACGAAAGUGUGGGGAUCAAACAGG
rnacentral:rRNA from 1 species